UUGCCCUUCUCUAUAUAUCAGACACGCCUGUUUUACAGGUUCACCUCCCCUUCUGCCAAAGCCAACAACGACAACAACACCAAUCUCUUCACCUCCUUGAUCUCAGACAUCAAAUCCUACUCUGGCAACGACCCUCUUCUCCCAUGGCUCCGAGGGAUCAGAAAGAUGAAGGAUUUGCUACCUUCGCAAGUACUGAAUGAUAAGCUGCCACGGUUUUUGCAGAAGUGUGCGCAGACCUUCGAUUCCGAUCGCCGUUACAAAAAUGACUUACGGUACCUCCGCGUUUGGUUACAGUUGCUAUGGGCAAUCCCAAGUCCCAGAGGGUGGAGAAGGAGGUAGUGGUCUUAGUGUUACCACGCGGAAACUAAAAAAGACUGACGCCUUAACCUAUCUCAAGGCGGUGAAGGACACGUUUCAAGACCAAAGAGAGAUAUUACAAGUGCUGAUCGUGAUCUUAGUGUUGAACACCUUGAGUUAAACAAAGGCAAAAGAAAAUCUGCCAGGAAAGUUGAAGGUUUUGGAGUGAAUGCAAAUUUGGCUUCUUAUGAUGACAAAGAUACCUUAAAGAGUGAGUUAACAGUUGAAUUUCUAGGUCCUCCACAAAAUAAGGUUGAAUUUCAAGAAGCUAUAAGCUUUGUGAACAAGAUAAAGGGGACAAGAACGAGGCACUCCAUACAUAUAGAAGAACUCUUGCAAAGGUCUAUUUCUACCCUUUUUUGUGAAACUUUAUUUCUUCUGCCGUCGCAUCGCCAAAGCCAUUAUUGGGUGGAAAGGCCAAGCCUUUGAGGCAACCCAAAGUCCAAGAAGAAUGGAAAGAUGUGGCGGGUGAUGUUGAGGGCAAAGGCAAAGGAAAUGAAGACCUAGACAAUUCAUUGCAAAAUAGGUAUGUUCCUAAAUUCUUGGUAGACAAUAAUUCAUAAUGUAUUAUAAUGAAACUUGAGUUCUUUUAGCAAAAAUAGUAUCAACAGAUUGGUAAUUGACUUAAAAAUUGGCAUUCAUGAUUUAUGUUAGAAAAGCAUUAGACUUAAUAGAUGACUUGGUCAAUUAGGAAUCACACCAAAGCUCUAAGUGUUGCUACUCACACUAGGUGAAUAUUGAACAUUAUUCAAAUUCUUUAUUUAUUUUUGUGUGUGUGUGUGUGUUACAUUGGUGUUUCAACAUUUGAUAGCAGUACUAUAUGCUUACAACAAAGUUAUUUUUUGUGUUUGAUUUACUUAAAAGAUAUGUAACUAUAAACCUCUAUUUUUUUGAUGAACUAUAAACCUCUAUCAUAAAAAUUUAGUGGUUUGUCAUGAUAAAUUUUAAUUUAGGAAUAUUAGACUUUAUUUUAAUUAAUUGAGAGGGGAAUAAAAUUAUUUGGUUUUGCUGUGAUAAAGUUUUGGUACCUCCCUGAUAUGGUUCUUUGGCUUAUUUCCUGUUUGGAUUAUUCAUAUUAUAUGAUUUUCUUGAUAUGGAUGUGUUUCUGAUGGAUUUGUUGAAAAAUUGGCUUUAUGCAAAGAGUUUGGCUGCAUAAAAGAACGGGUGGUGUUUGUUUGUCCAUUGCUUCAAAAGGGUUAGCAAUCACCGGGAUAGGUGAUUGAAGAUAUUGGAAUCAUAUCCCAGUUGAAGAAUCUAGGUGAGAUUCGUUCAAUUUUUUAACCCUCUUUUUUUAGUUUUUAUGUAUUGAUUUUUC